UGACGGCGCACGGGAGAAGCUGCCUUGAUUUGGCGGCGCCGAAAGAGCAAGUUACCCGUAUGCGCAUAAAGGUAGUUAACCUCUCAAGUACAAAGGACAGGGAGAAGGUG
rnacentral:ncRNA from 2 species